GUGCUGGCUUCGGCAGCACAUAUACUGAAAUUGGAACGACACAGAGUAGAUUAGCAUGGCCCCUACGCAAGGAUGACCUACAAAAUCAUGAAGUGUUCCAUGUUUUA
rnacentral:snRNA from 1 species